UACGGGGGGAGCAAGCGUUGUUCGGAUUUACUGGGCGUAAAGGGCGCGUAGGCGGCGCAACAAGUCACUUGUGAAAUCUCCGGGCUUAACCCGGAGCGGCCAAGUGAUACUGUCGUGCUAGAGUGCGGAAGGGGCUACUGGAAUUCCUGGUGUAGCGGUGAAAUGCGCAGAUAUCAGGAGGAACACCGGUGGCGAAGGCGGGUCUCUGGGCCGUAACUGACGCUGAGGAGCGAAAGCAUGGGGAGCGAACAGG
rnacentral:rRNA from 1 species